rnacentral:rRNA from 1 species
GUAACGCGUGGGAAUCUGCCCUUGGGUUCGGGAUAACAGUUGGAAACGACUGCUAAUACCGGAUGAUGACUUCGGUCCAAAGAUUUAUCGCCCAAGGAUGAGCCCGCGUAAGAUUAGCUAGUUGGUGGGGUAAAGGCCUACCAAGGCAACGAUCUUUAGCUGGUCUGAGAGGAUGAUCAGCCACACUGGGACUGAGACACGGCCCAGACUCCUACGGGAGGCAGCAGUGGGGAAUAUUGGACAAUGGGCGAAAGCCUGACCCAGCAAUGCCGCGUGGGUGAUGAAGGCCUUAGGGUUGUAAAA